UACAGGGGGUGCAAGCGUUGCUCGGAAUCACUGGGCGUAAAGCGUGCGCAGGCGGUUUUGUAAGUCUGACGUGAAAUCCCCGGGCUUAACCUGGGAAUUGCGUUGGAGACUGCAAGGCUGGAGUCUGGCAGAGGGGGGUAGAAUUCCACGUGUAGCAGUGAAAUGCGUAGAGAUGUGGAGGAACACCGAUGGCGAAGACAGCCCCCUGGGUCAAGACUGACGCUCAUGCACGAAAGCGUGGGGAGCAAACAGG
rnacentral:rRNA from 1 species